AGACACCGCCUCAGCAGCAGCAGUCUCCGUCGGGCCACACAGAGACGUUGACGCCUAUCUCUGCCUUCGCACGAGGGCAGACUAUGUUGGAUCCGACAGAUAUGAUUAACUUUGAUACCCAUAUGCAGGACGGUGGACAGAGUGAUUGAUUUUGCUUGUUGUUUUUGUACUUUUGGUUUUCUUUGUGUAAUUUUUGUUUUUUUUAGUUAUUCAGUUUUUAAUUUCUGUUGCUUUGAUGUAACCACCUAUUAUGGGUUGGCUUAUUCUAAUGAAUUUGAUUUGGUUUACCUCCAGUUUCCUGUUUAUUUCAUUAGAUACGUGACUAUGUCUGGCUAUUGGUUUUCUUGAUCACAUACACCAACUACUUGGGCGUUCUCUCUUUCAGUCCCCUGACUGUAGAUACUGUUGUUUAUGAUUGGACGCACUGGUU
rnacentral:lncRNA from 1 species